CGACGCGCCGCGCGUGGUCGCGUGGCUCGGCGCGCUCGCGGCGCGCCCGGGCGAGACGCACCGCAUCGAGUUCCGCUUCCGGCACGCCGCC
rnacentral:tRNA from 1 species